GACGAACGCUGGCGGCGUGCCUAAUACAUGCAAGUCGAGCGAACAGAGAAAGUGCUUGCACUUUCAAAGUUAGCGGCGGACGGGUGAGUAACACGUAAGGAACCUACCGAUAAGCGGGGGACAACAUCCGGAAACGGGUGCUAAUACCGCAUAGGAAGUUUAUUCGCAUGAACAAACUUAGAAAGAUGGCUCUGCUAUCACUUAUCGAUGGCCUUGCGGUGCAUUAACUAGUUGGCGAGGUAACGGCUCACCAAGGUGAUGAUGCAUAGCCGACCUGAGAGGGUAAUCGGCCACAUUGGGACUGAGACACGGCCCAAACUCCUACGGGAGGCAGCAGUAGGGAAUCUUCCGCAAUGGACGCAAGUCUGACGGAGCAACGCCGCGUGAGUGAAGAAGGUUUUCGGAUCGUAAAACUCUGUUGUAAGAGAAGAACAAAUUGUAGAGUAACUGCUACAGUCUUGACGGUAUCUUACCAGAAAGCCACGGCUAACUACGUGCCAGCCGCCGCAGUAAAAC
rnacentral:rRNA from 1 species